CCUCCCAAAGCUACACACUCUUUCAAAGAGGACGACACUCCCGAUAGAGAAGGACCGUGUCCUUGAUCAAGAGUGUAUGAGCAGCUGUGCUCCCCUACUAGAACCUCCAAAUAAGCUCUCAAGAGUUUUGCCUAUUUUAUUUUCCAGC
rnacentral:sRNA from 1 species